rnacentral:sRNA from 1 species
GUCGUGAGAUGUUGGGUUAAGUCCCGCAACGAGCGCAACCCUUGUCCUAUGUUGCCAGCACGUAAUGGUGGGGACUCAUAGGAGACUGCCGGGGUCAACUCGGAGGAAGGUGGGGAUGACGUCAAGUCAUCAUGCCCCUUAUGUCCAGGGCUUCACGCAUGCUACAAUGGCCGGUACAAAGGGCUGCGAAACCGCAAGGUAGAGCGAAUCCCAAAAAGCCGGUCUCAGUUCGGAUUGGGGUCUGCAACUCGACCCCAUGAAGUCGGAGUCGCUAGUAAUCGCAGAUCAGCAACGCUGCGGUGAAUACGUUCCCGGGCCUUGUACACACCGCCCGUCACGUCACGAAAGUCGGCAACACCCGAAGCCGGUGGCCCAACCCUUGUGGAGGGAGCCGUCGAAGGUGGGGCUGGCGAUUGGGACGAAGUCGUAACAAGGUAGCCGUACCGGAAGGUGCGGCUGGAUCACCUCCUUUCUAAGGAGCAUGUUGGCGGCCCUCCUGGGCCGUCCAGUCGUCGUUGCUCGAGCGUACGUCUCGAGGCGACGAUGCUCACUAGUGGAACGUCGACUAGUUGGCACUCAUGUCUGACGAUCUCGGUCAGUACUCCUGGCGCAGCCAGGGUGGAACCCCCGAGUGAGGGACCUGAGUGCCUAGCACGCUGUUGGGUCCUGAGGGAUCGAGCCGGUUGGCACGCUCUCUGGACCAUCCUCCCGCCGAACGACUCACUUGCUGGGGCAAGUGCCCUAGUUCGGGAGCACGCGGCGACCCAGUGGGAUGGAUUCCGCCCGUACCUUGAGAACUUCAUAGUGGACGCGAGCAUCAAAGUAAGAUCUCUUUGUAGUGACAAGCUACUAAGGGCACAUGGUGGAUGCCUUGGCAUCAAGAGCCGAAGAAGGCCGUAGGAGCCUGCGAAAAGCCCCGGGGAGUUGGCAACCGAGCUGUGAUCCGGGGAUUG